GCGGUGUGCCUAAUACAUGCAAGUCGUACGCAUUCUCGUUUCUGAUUGACGGUGCUUGCACCUAAUUGACGAGACAUUGGAAUGAGUGGCGGACGGGUGAGUAACACGUGGGUAACCUGCCCAGAAGUGGGGGAUAACAUUUGGAAACAGAUGCUAAUACCGCAUAAAAGUCAAAACCACAUGGUUUUGAUUUAAAAGAUGGCCUUUGUGCUAUCACUUCUGGAUGGACCCGCGGCGUAUUAGCUAGUUGGUAAGGUAACGGCUUACCAAGGCAAUGAUACGUAGCCGAACUGAGAGGUUGAUCGGCCACAAUGGGACUGAGACACGGCCCAUACUCCUACGGGAGGCAGCAGUAGGGAAUCUUCCACAAUGGGCGCAAGCCUGAUGGAGCAACACCGCGUGAGUGAAGAAGGGUUUCGGCUCGUAAAACUCUGUUGUUAAAGAAGAACGUAUCUAAGAGUAACUGCUUAGGUAGUGACGGUAUUUAACCAGAAAGCCACGG
rnacentral:rRNA from 2 species